GACGAACGCUGGCGGCGUGCCUAAUACAUGCAAGUCGAACGCUUCUUUCCUCCCGAGUGCUUGCACUCAAUUGGAAAGAGGAGUGGCGGACAGGUGAGUAACACGUGGGUAACCUACCCAUCAGAGGGGGAUAACACUUGGAAACAGGUGCUAAUACCGCAUAACAGUUUAUGCCGCAUGGCAUAAGAGUGAAAGGCGCUUUCGGGUGUCGCUGAUGGAUGGACCCGCGGUGCAUUAGCUAGUUGGUGAGGUAACGGCUCACCAGGGCCACGAUGCAUAGCCGACCUGAGAGGGUGAUCGGCCAUACUGGGACUGAGACACGGCCCAGACUCCUACGGGAGGCAGCAGUAGGGAAUCUUCGGCAAUGGACGAAAGUCUGACCGAGCAACGCCGCGUGAGUGAAGAAGGUUUUCGGAUCGUAAAACUCUGUUGUUAGAGAAGAACAAGGACGUUAGUAACUGAACGUCCCCUGACGGUAUCUAACCAGAAAGCCACGGCUAACUACGUG
rnacentral:rRNA from 1 species